AUGCAUGUUGUGAAAUUUGGCUACAGAUGGAACAUAGGGGAUGGGAGCAGAACCAGGUUCUGGGAAGAUACUUGGUUUGGCACAUCCCCCCUAGCAGUCCAAUUUUGGCCUAUUUACUCUGUCUGCAAUGAGCUUAACAAAAGUGUCAAUGAAGUUUGGGAUGGUCAAUUCCUAAAAGUCUCUUUUAGAAGGAACUUUAGUGAUAGUCUCAUGGAACAAUGGUUUCCAGUUGGAGGAAAUUGCCAAAAGCAUUACCUUUACUGCCGAGCCGGAUGCCCUGAUUUGGUAGCUGGACAAUAA
rnacentral:rRNA from 1 species